CUGGGGUGGGGUGGGUGGGGUGGAAGGAAGUAAAGAAUGUUUAAGAGGGUCACGCCCUCAGCCCCUCAACCUCUGUAAUCAGUCUCUUUCUGCCCUGUGGUUUGUAGAUGCACCUGCCCAGGUGAGACCUCAAAGAAAAAUAAUCCUGUGGGUGCAUCUAAUCUGGCAUUCAUUAACUUCUCAGGACUGGUAAUCCUGACCCUGUAACUCAAUGGAGCCAUGUGACUAGUUUGGGCCAAUGAGUUGUGAGGCAAAGAUGAAGCAUGAGAGUCCCUGUCUGGCACAAGAUUCUCCAGAGCUCUUCAUCUCUGCCACUGGGACCAGCACUUUCCCAGAGAGUGAGCCCUUCAGCUUGGAUUCAGAAUAAGAACAAUCCAGAACAAAGAACCACCUGGAUUCAUAAUAGACAGUUCAUUUCUUGAGUAGCCCACUCAAGAAAGCGAAAGGACGAGGGGAAGAGACUGAAGAGUCCCUAGGAGCUGGAAAGUUAUUGAAUCAGUGUGACCAGGAGACGACAAGAACUCUGCCUCUUGUGUCUGAGAUACGCUGUUGACUGGAUCUUACAUCCAAGGUUUACUCUGCUUUUCAUUCCCUCUCCUCUGUACAGAAGUCUCCCCAUCGCCACCAGCAUUCCAGUUGGACCUCAGGAACGUAAAGAUAUGAGAAAUACUUCUUCCUUUCCCGGUAUGAGAAAUACCUCUCGGCACUCAAUGUCAGCCAUUGUCUUCCACUGUACUUCCUACCCUGUUUGUCGCUAAAUAAAAUCUGUGAUGUUGCCCUCAUAUUCUCGACAUCCAAAUACUAUAUAGAAAACAUGCCCUGCGUCAGGCAUUCAGAAAAGAAAACAUCACGAAAGCUGCAGCCCUCCAAGUAUGUUUGGGUGACUCUUUAAUUCACAGCUUUCGAGCUUUCAGAUGGAGAGAAUGCCGUGCAGCAAUGAGAGCAUGGGUGGGGGACCAAGAAGGAUCUGGAUUCAAACGCAGUCUGCACCUAAUUUUUUGACCUUGAGAAAGUCAUUUACCUUCUUGGGACCUCUCUAUUAAUUGAAGAUGAUUAAAUGAGAGGGGAUAGGAAAAAUACCCAGCAUGUACUAGACACAUAAGCCACAUUCUAUUGCCUUCGUGCCUCCAUAAUGUACUUUAUAAGAACGUGUAAAUAGUGUUUCCUUUUUUCUCAUUACCCACAACUCUCAUUUCUUCAGUUGCCCUAUUCCCCGAAGGCUUUCUAUUCACUGUGAAGGCACAGUUUUAAAUCCUCUGACAUACCUUUUAGCUUGGGUUCUAAAUUUACGUUCUGGUAAAAAUAUGUGUCCAAAGUAAAUGAAAUACAAAAUAACUGAGACAGAGAAGUAGACAUGUAUGUGUCUCAUUUGUGCUCUUGGGAUUUAAAUUUAUGGAAGUGACUGAGUAAUAACACCGAGGCCAAUGGUACUGAAAGAAGAAUUCAUUAUUUCUAUUUCCCUAGAGAAGGAGGUACAUCAUGUUAUGCAGGGCCACAUGGAAAGCACCAGGGUUUGGGCAGGAGGCAGAAGAGGGGAAAGCCUGGGCUGUAGCCUUUUUUCAUGUUUCCACAGGAAAGACCAGGCAAGGCUGGGAAACAAUUUAAGAUUGUCUAUUUUGAAUAAUUCUGGAGGUUUUAAGCUAUAGGAGCAGUCUCUAGCUGCCUGGUACCCAACCCUGGGAUGAUUUAGGGCAGGAGAAAUAUUGGCUUGAUGUGUAAGUUAAUAGAAUUUGUUGGGUGAAUACAUUUCCCAGAUUGGUUGAUUUGCAUUUGAAAGGUACACUGCCUGCCAAGCUGUCUCUAAGAAUUGGCUAGCCCUGGGAGGGGCAGUCUCUCAGCAGCCAGAAAGAUUUUUUAAGAUGGCAAAACAUCAUAAGAUAAUAAAAAUUUAAAAAUAUGAUUAAUACAAUAGGGAAAAGAAA